GGGGGAGGGCAGCAGUUCACAGAACCCAGAGUGGUGCCGCAAUUUAUUGAUACCGUGGCAUUGUUGCAUACUUUAAUCUUAUUGGACAUUAUUUUUCAAUAAAGGGACACCUCUGCCUUUUAGCAAAUCCAGAAUGAUGGGCUACAAAUCAAACAUUAAAGGGAUACUUCACCCAUUUAGAACCAGCGUUCUAUCAUUAUAAAAUCGCUAUUUUAAUAUGAAUAAAUAUAUAAAUAAAUAUCAGUCCAAACCAGUCUCCCCUUGGCCCAGUUUUUCUCAUCUAAUUUUCUCCCGAAAUGACGUCAAAUGACGCGUUUGACGCCAUUUCUGGAGAAACCUCUUGUCCCGCUAGAAGGGCCGAGGACUACAACACACUUUUGGUGGCAAAUUUUUCCACCAAUAAGGAAUGAGAGGGGGCGGGAGCUUGCGUACUGAGGGGGAAUGAAGGGGACGGGAGACUGACAGGUGGGCGGGGCAGCGAGCGCAAUGCACUGGUAGUUGGAGGUUUUCUUACUUUGAGCCAGAGAGACCAUGAAAACACUCUUUCUGCCUUUUUUCAGGCUGGUAUCAAGCGAUUUCAAUUUUUUUUUCACAUUUAUAAUACAUUGAAUUAUUUAAUUCAUAAAACCUUCAUAUUCCCAAUGGUGAAGUAUCUCUUUAAGAACAACAGUCGAAUAGAACACCGACCGAAUGUUGCCUUGACAACACAAAAACAACACGCUCAAAUCCCUCAAGAAUAUUUUAAUUUCAGCUGAUUAAGUCGAUAAAAAUAUACCAAUAACAGAUGAAGGCAAAACAUAGCAGUGUGGGUUACGGUAUCACCCGAUAGCCACGCCCCUUUCCUCCUCCUCCGUCAUCAACCGAUAGACACACCCCUUCCUCCUCCCUCCUCCGUCAUCACCCGCUGGCCACGCCCCUUCCCCCUCCCUCCUCCGUCAUCACCCGCUGGCCACGCCCCUUCCUCCUCCGUCAUAACCCGAUGGCUACGCCCCUUCCUCCUCCGUCGUCAUCACCCGAUGGCGAACUCCUCCAGGUCCUCAUCGCUGUCCUCCUCUACCUCCACCCGGCACUGCCGCUCCGCCCGCUGCCGGUCGCUGGCGGUGAUGUAGUUGUCCUCGAUGAAGCCGUCGUCGUCCUCCUCCAUCUCCACCUCGGGGACGCCGGAGCGCCCGCCGCGCCCGCCGCCCGCGCUGGGGUAGGUCGCCCCCUCCUGGCCGUACUGGCUCACGCCGUCCGCCUCCAGCAGCAGCGAGUGGCGGUAGCUGGCCAGGAAGCGGUGGAACAGGCGGAACCUGACGGCGGCCACCACCACCAGGGAGGUGGCGACCGCCGUGGCCAGCCCCGCGGCCAGGUAGCCCAUGGUCGCCUGGCUGUUCUGAGCUGCCGGGUCGCUCUCAGCUGGGGGAACACAACAUGGGGGUCUUUGAUGGGUCAGUAGAGCUUGUACAAUUGAAGCUGCGACGCAUGCAUCGCAUGUAGGAUCGUGGUCCUCCCAGCCGCGACCAGGUCUGUAUGCCUGUACCAAUCCAGACACACAGUCGGUCAACGCAGUGGUCACAUGGCAGAUUGACUCAACCUAAAGCUGCCAUAGGUAAGACUCAAGGGUUGGUAGAAAGAAAAGCAGAAGGGAGCAAGG
ensembl:lncRNA